rnacentral:lncRNA from 1 species
GCCUGAUCUUGUGUGAUUUACUUUGUACCAACACCCCAUGACCCAGAUGACUUGGCCAAGGUCAUCAGCCAAAGCCAGGCCUCUGGGUCUAACUACCGGCAGGCUGACAAGGCAUACAGGUCAGCGGGCAAAGCAACGGAGGGAGACCCCAUACGUUCUGCUUGACCUGUUGUCUUGCUCUUUGUCCCUUCUGGGAUUUUCUCAGCUCCCACCUCUGGGUGCCUGGUCCCUAAAGCCCCUCUCAAAUGACAAUGUGGCAUCCACCCUGGGACGAUGGCGUCUCCAUGGCAGGUCUUGAAGAGCAAGAACGCCUCGGAAGAGAGAAGAGCAGACGAUACAGCAGGGGCUUGGAUGAACAUUCCCACCCACCGCUUCCUGUCUCUCAGAGGCCUGGUCAUGCUGCAUGUCUUUGCAUUUAUUGAGAGAUUCUGGGGACUCCUUGAAGAAGAACAAGACCUUCCAGAAACUCUAUCUGUUUUAGCCUGGCAAACACAGCAAAGGAAUUUUCAGUCACUAUAAACAACCUCUUCUGUGGACCCCACCUGUCGUGAGCGCACACAACGCUAGGAAUGUGACUUGGGACAUUCUCAAGCAAGCUGUGGGGGACAUCUGUUGUUGUGUUGCCCACUUCCUGCUGCCCGAUUUAGCUCUGCAGGAAUUACCCACCCUGCUUUCAGCCAUGUGUUUUGCCUAAUGCUGACUGACCUCUGUGUUGGAUCUGGCUGUGAGUCACAGGGGCAAGGCCCAAGUCACCUGGGGGAAGUCCCUGUGUCUGGCCACAGUGGCUAGUUAGGGAAUGGCAGCAGGGCAUGAGCCAAAGCCUGCCCAGAAGCCCCCUGGGGUUUUCUUUGGUUCAUGUAAUGAUGGAGCUGUUGGUCCCUCUAGAUUUGAACGUGAGGAGUCAUAGGAUCUGGGCUGACUGAGAAGAGAGGUCAGAUCUGAGAAGAAGGCCCAUGGGUGACAGACCACAGCCCUGAGUCGAGAUAGAAGCAGGACUCUGAUGCUUUCUCUGACCUGCAGCUACGGCCGGAAGUUCAACCUAGUCUCCGACCGAUCCGUUUUUUUUAGAUAAUAAAUACCAUUGUUUGCUUA